rnacentral:lncRNA from 1 species
UUAAUGGGAGACAACAUUAAUGGCAAACAAUACAAAGUGGUGCAAGUUUAGCACCCUAAAGUUGACUUUGAAAAAGUGGCAUGGGAUAAUUUUUUUGGUCCUUGAGAUAAUGGGCUAUUUAUUGUUUGGUCCUUAAACCUCAACUAUAAAUAGGCCUUCUCAUUUCUCAUUUCAAUUCAUCCCAACCAAUCUUUCUCUCUUAGUUUUCUCUCUUCUCCCAUUUGAGAAUUCUUAAGGAAUUCUAUUUGUUUGUAAUACUUUGGAGAUAGUAAAGUUAUCAUCUGGUGUUAGUGCCCGAGGACGUAGGUAUAAUUUACCGAACCUCGUUAAAACUCUUGUGUUCUUUCUUGUCCUAUUUUUCUUUCAAUAUUUGAGGGUAUAAUAGUAGUAUUUAAUUGUGCUAUUAAAUUACUAUAGAAGGGAUAUUCU